rnacentral:rRNA from 1 species
UACGGGAGGCAGCAGUAGGGAAUCUUCCGCAAUGGGCGAAAGCCUGACGGAGCAACGCCGCGUGAGUGAUGAAGGUCUUCGGAUCGUAAAACUCUGUUAUUAGGGAAGAACAUACGUGUAAGUAACUAUGCACGUCUUGACGGUACCUAAUCAGAAAGCCACGGCUAACUACGUGCCAGCAGCCGCGGUAAUACGUAGGUGGCAAGCGUUAUCCGGAAUUAUUGGGCGUAAAGCGCGCGUAGGCGGUUUUUUAAG